rnacentral:rRNA from 1 species
UACGUAGGGGGCUAGCGUUGUCCGGAAUCAUUGGCGUAAAGCGCGCGUAGGCGGCCCGAUAAGUCCGCUGUAAAAGUCCAGGCUCAACCCUGGAACGCCGGUGGAUACUGUCGGGCUAGAGUCCGGAAGAGGCGAGUGGGAAUUCCUGGUGUAGCGGUGGAAUGCGCAGAUAUCGGGAAGAACACCCGUGGCGAAGGCGGCACUCUGGGACGGUACUGACGCUGAGAGCGAAAAGCGUGGGGAGCGAACAGG